rnacentral:misc_RNA from 1 species
GAAAUGCGAUACUUGGUGUGAAUUGCAGAAUCCCGUGAACCAUCGAGUCUUUGAACGCAAGUUGCGCCCGAAGCCAUUAGGCCGAGGGCACGCCUGCCUGGGUGUCACACAUCGUUUCCCCAACGCAAACAUGAACAAUGUUGCUGUCCCGUGAACCAUCGAGU